rnacentral:sRNA from 1 species
AAAUAUCAACUAUCUCAAUCCCCAAGUAAUUGUUUAAUAUAAAGAGAUUCGUCGCCCCGUCUGAGAAGGUCACGCUCUAUUUUGCCUAGAAAUAAGAUCUCUAGGCGGUCCAUUUCGGUCGGGCUAGAUCGGGGGUUCGAAAUGUCCAGCGCGUCCCGCCUCUCGUUCAAGAAGUCGAAAAAGCCUUUUGAGGAGAGUAGGCGAAGCUUCUUCUUGCCUCACAAAGAUUUCAUGGUCUAACCGAAAUAA